ACACACCUGUUCCCGUAGGAUCACUGAAGUUAAGCAACGUCGAGCCUAAUCAGAACCUAGAUGGUUAACGACUUUGGAAUCCCAGGUGCUGCAA